rnacentral:rRNA from 1 species
UCCUACGGGGCGCAGCAGUGGGGAAUAUUGGGCAAUGGGCGCAAGCCUGACCCAGCAACGCCGCGUGAAGGAAGAAGGCUUUCGGGUUGUAAACUUCUUUUCUCAGGGACGAAGCAAGUGACGGUACCUGAGGAAUAAGCCACGGCUAACUACGUGCCAGCAGCCGCGGUAAUACGUAGGGGGCGAGCGUUAUCCGGAUUCACUGGGCGUAAAGGGAGCGCAGGCGGCACGGCAAGUCCGGUGUGAAAGCCCGGGGCCCAACCCCGGGACUGCACUGGAAACUGCCGGGCUGGAGUGUCGGAGGG